GCCGACUUUGAGCUAAGCACCCUUAAAGCUUCCAGACCCUUAUGGCACAAAAAAUCAAACCGAGGCCCUCAGAGAAUGCAAAAAAAUGAAAGUGGAAGACCCAAUAUUCCCUGAGCCAGGACAGGAAAACAAGUCUCCAGGAGACCAGAUAUUCACAUUCAACUGUGAUAGCCAAUGGGAUCCCUGUUUAUUUGGUGCCCGAGUCCCUUGAAGCCAAACCUCCAUUCCCAGAGCUCAGAUGACCACUAGAAUAAGUCUCAUCAUCCCUCCAAGAGCCCCUUGACCAGCAUAUUCCCAAGUGGUCCCCUCAGCUCCAACAGAAAUGACAUUGGCAGCUCCUACAGCUCUCCUGGAAACAUUUCAAAGACAGGGAAGAGAGGAGGUCCCAGUUUGCAAUUUCACAUCCCUCCUGAUGUCUAAAGUACUCAUUAUCCUCUUCCCCUAAAAAAGGCACAGAAGAGCUUGAACCCAGGAGGCUAAGGUUGCAGUGAGCUUAGAUCAUGCCACUGAACUCCAGCCUGGCGUCAGAGCAAGACUCCCUCUCAAAAACAAACAAAAAGGCACAGAAAAACAUCUGUCCACACUUUGCUGUAUAGGGAUUAAACAAUGAGGUUCAGGCUGCAGACACUCCCUCACAGAAGAAAACAAAGCAAAACUCAAGGAAUACAUCGCCCACAUCUGUUAGUUCUGGGCCUCAUGAAAGCAAAACUUUGCUACAGCCUUCUAAGCCAUAGGGGGAGGGUAUCCUGUCUUCAACUCCCCAACUUGGUUAUGCAGUCACUGCAGAAAACUUGGACAAGAAAGCUGCACUCUGGUAGGUCAACGAAGUCAUAAAGGAGCAGACUGAGGCCACCAAUGACUAUCCUGAGAUUGUGCCUGCCACUCAGCCCAUCCUUUCUGUCACCCUACCUGCUGCUGGGACUGCACCAUUUCCAACUACCCCUCCAUUUGGGAGCACUAAUCCAAGCUGGAGAGCUUGAAAGUGAUGCAGAAUACCCCAGGCCCACUGGCCUUCCUAUAGUCCACUGGAGGGAUAACCUGUGUGGCUGCUUUGCCUCAGGAGACAUCCAGCUUGCUGACCCCUUUGGUGUCCUCGAAGUCAGAGACACUUCCAGGCACCUCUUCAGACUUGAGGCCAACAGUCACUUACUCCUGGUUGACUCCUGCUUCUACCACAUUACUCAUCACUGACCCCACCAAGCCACCU
rnacentral:lncRNA from 10 species